AUUGAACGCUGGCGGCAGGCCUAACACAUGCAAGUCGAACGGUAACAGGAAGUAGCUUGCUUCUUUGCUGACGAGGGGCGGACGGGUGAGGAAUGUCUGGGAAACUGCCUGAUGGAGGGGGAUAACUACUGGAAACGGUAGCUAAUACCGCAUAACGUCGCAAGACCAAAGAGGGGGACCUUCGGGCCUCUUGGCAUCGGAUGUGGCCAGAUGGGAUUAGCUAGUCGGUGGGGUAACGGCUCACCUAGGCGACGAUCCCUAGCUGGUCUGAGAGGAUGACCAGCCACACUGGAACUGAGACACGGUCCAGACUCCUACGGGAGGCAGCAGUGGGGAAUAUUGCACAAUGGGCGCAAGCCUGAUGCAGCCAUGCCGCGUGUAUGAAGAAGGCCUUCGGGUUGUAAAGUACUUUCAGCGGGGAGGAAGGGAGUAAAGUUAAUACCUUUACUCAUUGACGUUACCCGCAGAAGAAGCACCGGCUAACUCCGUG
rnacentral:rRNA from 1 species